UGUGAGUGAUGCCCUUGAUCCUGGGGAGCUU
rnacentral:piRNA from 1 species